rnacentral:tRNA from 1 species
GGGGAUGUAGCUCAGUUGGUAGAGCACGUGGUUUGCAUCCACGGUGUCAGGGGUUCGACUCCCCUCAUCUCCA